UACAGGGGGUGCAAACGUUGCUCGGAAUCAUUGGGCGUAAAGCGCACGUAGGCGGUUCGUUAAGUCUGAUGUGAAAUCCCCGGGCUCAACCUGGGAAUGGCAUUGGAUACUGGCUCGCUCGAGUGCGGUAGAGGGUGGUGGAAUUCCCGGUGUAGCAGUGAAAUGCGUAGAGAUCGGGAGGAACAUCUGUGGCGAAGGCGGCCACCUGGACCAGCACUGACACUGAGGCACGAAAGCGUGGGGAGCAAACAGG
rnacentral:rRNA from 1 species